UUUGGUCACACCUACGUCUCUCCCGUCGGCUUCGAUUUCUUUCCUUCCCUCCUUCCUUUCUUCCCCUUCCCUUCUUCGUCUUUCUCUGCGACGAAGCCAAGAAAGACCCGGAGAAAUCUAUCGGUCCAUCUCGGAUGGUCAUGGCGGCGGCGGCGGCGGAGGAGAUCCACCGGAGGCCUGACGAGCCUGCUGGGGGCAAGCUGGAGUCUCCCUCUCCCUCUCCUUCUCGCGGUCUCUCCCAAUCCCGUCUCCAUAAUUUCUCCUUCCCGACCCUCAGCUGGGGGAACCAGCGGCUCCUCCGGUGCAUGAAGCUUCCCGCCGGAACCAAUGGCGAGAUUGUCGGAUCGCCGGCGAUCGCGACCUGGGAAGAGCCGCGCGUGGUGAGGAAACGGUCCUCACCCCUCUCGUCUUCGCCCGAGAUGGAGGGAUCAAAGCGGAAUCUACCUCGGAUCCAGGACGCCAAGGACAUGGAGGUGGGAGGCGGAGAGAAGGCGGAGGAGUCCUCUCCGGCGGCGGUAAGGCCUUGGAAUCUGAGGUCGAGGAGGGGGGCCUGCGUCGCUCCGGUGGAGAUCGGGCGAGGUCGGAACAAUUUCUCUUCUUCUUCUUGCUCGCCUUCUCCCGUGCAGCUGGAGAGGAGUGGUCUGGUGAAAUCGCUCGGACCGAGAUCAGAGGUUUUGGAGAAGGGUGAGAGGCCGAAGUUCUCGAUUUCGCUCACUCGUGAGGAGGUUGAAGAGGAUUUCCUCGCGAUGAAAGGGAAGAAACCCCCUCGCAGGCCCAAAAAGAGGGCCAAGAUCGUGCAGAAGCAGCUGGAUUCAAUUUUCCCUGGCCUGUGGUUGUCAGAGAUAACACCAGACUUAUACAAAGUUGAUGAUUGAGUUGCAGAACUAAGAGGACGGCAAGAUUGCUUCAUGGCGAGUUUUUAUUACAAGAGAGUUUUCAGAGAUUGCAGAUGCUGACUAUACAUGCUGAGUAAGGUGAAGAGGUAGAUCAUUUGCAUGGCUUUCUGUGCGGGACAAGGCAAAGACGGAGAAAUGUUUGUAAACUGAGGCUCUUCACAAAUUAAGUUUUAUGCCUGACUCAAGGUUAUCAGCAUAAUCCUCCUUUUCGUCAUCCAGAAAUCAAUAGAUUGUGAAGAUAUUGAUUCCAAAACAAAGGGUACGCUUAUCAAAGAUUGUUGUGAGCCAGGUAUGCAGCUCCAUAUGUCUGUUUUCUGGUCCAGGUUAUGCAAGAAACCAUUAAAACCCCUAUAGGCUUUGCCGCCCGAUCAAACACAUGACCUUGAAUGUGUUAGCUCAAUGUCUUGUCUCUACCAGUCCAAUUAAUUCUUUUACAUAAUUGCUAGAAUUCCAUGCUCUCCCUUUUUUUGCAGCGUCAUAUGUCACCCGCAUUCCAGACUAGUACCCAGAGUAGCACCUUCAUGCAUUAAACUUUAGUCUCCUGUUCAGGAAGCUUAAUUUCUGCUUCCCCAAGAUUCUUGGACUGAAUCAAAUUAUUUUUAAUUUGUUGAAACAAAUGCCGUUGACAUUAUUCUCAUUCAGGGUAGGCUCCCAAACAGAAAAU